rnacentral:tRNA from 1 species
UAUUUUAAUAGCUUAUUUUAAAGCAUAAUAUUGAAGAUAUUAAGAAGGAAAGUUUUCCUUAAAAUAUU